GGAAGAAACAUACCUACAUACAUACAUAGAAAUACAUACAUACAUUAUACAUAGACUUCCAAAAUCAUUGCCCUUCCUUUUGGCUUCGC